rnacentral:rRNA from 1 species
AUGUCCGCCAUCGUCGUCCCCAGCCCGGUGCCGUCCCCCUCCGACGACGCCGAGGGCAUCAGGAAGGCGCUCCAAGGAUGGCGGGCGGACAAGGAGGCCCUGGUGCGCAUACUGGCGGGGAGGACGGCGGCGCAGCGGUCGGCGAUCCGCCGCGCCUACGCCUUCCUCUUCCGGGAGCCGCUCCUCAACUCCUUCCGCCAGCGGCUCUCCCGCCAGUACUGCCCCGUCACCGUCGACUUCUGGAAGGCGGUCAUCCUGUGGACGAUGGACCCGGCGGAGCGGGACGCGAACCUGGUGCACGGCGCGCUGCGGCGGCGAGGGGACGGCGAUCACCUCGCCGUGCUGGUGGAGGUCGCGUGCGCGUCCGACCCCGACCACCUCGUGGCCGUCCGGCGCGCCUACCGCUCCCUCUUCGGCUGCUCCGUCGAGGAGGACCUCGCGUCCUGCGCCGCGCUCCAGCAGCCGCUGAGGAAGAUGCUGGUGAGCCUCGUGAGCUCCUACCGCUACGGCGGUGACCGCGUCGACGCGGACGUGGCGAGGCUGGAGGCGUCGCAGCUCUCGGAGGCCGUCCGGAAGAAGCAGCCGCACCACGACGAGGUGGUGCGGAUCCUCAGCACCCGGAGCAAGCCCCAGCUCCGGGCGACGCUCCGGCGGUACAGGGAGGACCACGGCACCGACAUCGUCGAGGACAUCGACAGCCGCUGCAGCAGCCAGUUCGCCAGGACGCUCAGGAGCGCCGUCUGGUGCCUGACCUCGCCGGAAAAGCACUUCGCGGAGAUGAUCAGGGAGUCGGUGGUGGGGCUGGGGACGUACGAGGACAUGCUGACGAGGGUGGUGGUGUCGCGGGCGGAGAUCGACAUGAAGCAGAUCAAGGAGGAGUACAGGGCCAGGUUCAAGACCACCGUGACCUGCGACGUCGUCGACGACACCUCCUUCGGCUACAAGGACAUCCUGCUGGCCCUGGUUGGCUGCGAGGAAGAGUGA